AUUGAAAUGGUCGUACUAUAUACAAAAGAAAAUAAUAAUUUAAUCAUAUAACUAUAAUUUAAUAUUAUAUACAAAAUAAUUAUAUUAUAGUUAUAUGAGUAUAUACAGGAUAAUUAUAUUAUAACUAGGUGACCGGUCCGCACCCUGUGCGGGCAUAAGAAAAUUUAAAAUAUGGACUAAAUCUUAUAUAGUUUUAUAAGUAACAGAUUUUAUAAUAUAAUACCACCGUCUUGGGAGAAUUCAUCAGCCAUGGAAAAAAACUUGUACUCAAUAUUUGAGAUGGACGAGAGGAAACAAAGUAGCUUCAGUAUGAAGAGGUAGAUAUUGUGUGUACGUAUAAUUGCAACGUCCCAAAAUAAUUUGUAUGUUUACGAAGAAACUUUCAUUCAAAAUAUGGAAUAAAUAGUGCAUAGUUUUAGAAGUAUCAGAUUUUAUAUUAUCAUUAAUUAGAAAUGUAUUGUAUAUUUGUCGUAAUUUUUUAAUGUUGGUGAAUAAUAUUUUUUUUCCAUUAAUAAUAAAAAAACAUUUGUGUAGACAUAGUAAAAGAAAACAUAAUAAAAAAAAAUUCAAAAUAUUAUCCAUAAACAAUAUAAAUUAUGAAGUACAAUUGUCGAAAAAUAAAGAAAAAUCAAUUAGAAACCUGCAAAAAAUUAAAUAAAUUUUGUAAGUAAUUUGACGGGUUAACAUUAUUUGAUAGAUUUAUAAGUUUCUAAAUAAAAGUUAACAUGAAAUAACAUUAAAUUGACAGACAGUCAUCGAAAUAGUCAAAAACGAGAUGCUCCUGAAUACAAUCGGUCUCCUAACUCAUCACUACCCAUCUGGAAAAUACAAAAAAUAAAUAAUUGUAACAGUUUAUAUACUUAAAAUGUUGUAUUUGAAAAGAAAGUAGAUUAAAAUUACAUACCGUGACUGCGGAAUAUUCUGAAAAACUUGUGUGUAGACAACAUUCAAUGUUUUUGUCUGCGUUUUCCCUUCUUUACCAGUUAUUAGGAUUUUUAAUCCAGAUCUCGACUUAACUCUUGAAAGUGCAACGUAGAGCUGACCAUGACAGAACACUGGCCUAGGCAGAAACAACCCAACACUUUCCAGUGUUUGACCUUGACUUUUGUUGAUGGUUAUCGCGAAAGCCAAAAUAACUGGAAACUGUCUUCGACGCAUUCUGAAAGGAAACUUUGUGUCAGCUGGUGUGACAAACAUUCUAGGGAUCCAAACCGGAUGUCCAACAAUUUUGUUUCCGGUUAUAAUUCUACCUUCUAUCACAUGGGGCAAUAACUGAGUAACAAUUAGCCUAGUACCAUUACAUAAACCAUAUGCAACAUCCAUGUUACGAAGACACAUGAUAGGAGCACCAACCUUGAGCUUCAAACAAUGUCUAGGCAGUCCAACCACUUUAACACUGUUCAAAAACUCUGCAGGAUAUACUACAUUUUCUUCUAUGUCAACAUCGGAUGGGAUAAUACUGUCAGAGCUAAGGUAAACCUUCUCUUCUCCUGAAAGCAUAUGUAAAUCCUUUUGUUUAGUGAUAUAUAAAAAGUUAGUUGAACAUAAGAAUCCUACUAUAUAAAAGAAGCUAAAUUCUAGCUUUUCUAGAGGUGCCACAUGGGCAAAAUAAUCCCCACCUAUCAAACUGCCAUGUCAUUAUGAACUGGGCUUGGAGUUAACAUUCGCAGCCCAUUUAAACCAUUUCAAAGCCCAGUUUAAAAUUCUCUAAAAUCCUGCGCAAGAUCCGUCGACUGUUGACCAUCCGAGCAAGCUCACCUUCGAAGGAGCCCCGCAGCCCCAAGACGCUGUGGUCCAGAGGACCCGACUCCAAACCCUACUCACAUCCAAUCUUCCGUGACGCCGCCGCCUCCAAGUUCAAGAAACCACGCACUGCUCCAUCUUCAUUCUGAUGGAGAGAGACCAUACCGGAGGUGAGCAUCUCAAGAGAAACCACCAUCCUUUCAAGGGUCGUCCCUUUGACGAUUUGCAUCUCCAGAUCUGGACGAAAAAGUUUCAAACCCCGAUAGUUGACUAGCGGCUCUGGCUUUGUCUUCGACGCCCUCAAUCGGAGCUCAUCCGCCGAGAGAGCCGACGAACCACCAGGAUCUGAAGCUUACAUGGAGAAACCGUGCCGUGCAUGUUCCGUCAGUCGAGAUCAGUUGCCGUAGAGAAAGAAAAAGUGGGGGUGGGAGACCUCUGAACAACCGACGGAGACGCCGGAGAAGGAGACUCCACCCGGAUGAAAAGACGAAGCGAAGAACUCUAGAGAGAAAAAGAUAGAGGGCGUCGAUGCCAGACAAAGGCUUUGUUACCUAGAAUAGUUUUUGCUAUCAAAUUAUUUUACUGAGGCAACGAUUUGAAAUAUGUAUUUUUGAAGAUUUUUAUUUUUACUUUUGAGGAACUUCGGAGUAUUUUAAACAUCUAGAUCAUGUGAUUGAUUGCUUUAGUUUCUAAAUAUAUAAUCUUGGUUUAUCUUUGAUCUACUCAUGUAGACAUUCCCACUGUCGAUCAGUGAAACAAUUGGAAGCACUGAAUCCUGCUCUGUCUCCGGUAGAGAAUUCGAUGCUUCUCUACUGUAACUGGGUUUUCCUGGGGAGUAUAUUCAGAGUGAACCGGUAUGUCUAUGGUCGAGCGAGAGCCAGUCCCUUGAAUCUCGAAGACCUCAAAUGCUGAAACUGGUGAUAGUGGAUGUGAACUAAACAAUUUGAAUAGUCAAGGUAGGAUCAAUGAUGCAGACAGUCGUUUAGUUCAUAAUUGUAGAGAGGCUGGCAAUCAAAGUUUGCUGGUUAUGUUAACUAAUUCUAGGCGCUGUAAUAAUCGUGGCACAAGUCUGGGAGAAAGGACUGCAUGUGUAGAAGGCUGGCAGGGGAUGAAAAUAUCCAGAGUGAAUGAGUUUUCUCAAAGUUUAGAAAUGGGGAUGAAUGAGAGUUGAAUAGCCAUCAAACGGGUGUUCCUCUUCUUCAGUUCAAGCAGAGGAGAACAGACAAGGCAAUCGUUUAAAGGGACUAGCGAGAUAUCAUAUGAACAGUUUCUGCAAACUCCUGAAGAUGGUACUAGAUGUUCGGAGAUCAAAAGUUGGUACGAUAUAUGUGAUGUAAGAAGAGAUCAAGGGCGUUUCAACAUAUUUGGAGAAAUACAGUGGGAGAACAGGCGACUGAGUCAAGCGUUGCUAGGACCGGCCAAAGCUUACUUGGAAUUUAUUCUGAUCCGGAAUGGUCUCAAUUGGAAGCGAUGCUACAUUCUUUCCUCGGGAUGAUGAUAAUGGCGUGGAACUCAGAGAACUCGGGAGCAUGUGAACUUUUUUAAUGUUUUUGUCGUAGUGGCCACACUUCACAACGUGAAAUUAUGUAUGAUGUCUGAAUUACAAGAGACGUGUUUCAAAUUUUCUGCAAAGUGGAUUUAUGCAAAAUCAUGACCAGUUGAUACAA